UGUCCAGACUCCUACGGGAGGCAGCAGUGGGGAAUAUUGGGCAAUGGACGCAAGUCUGACCCAGCAGCGCCGCGUGAAGGAAGAAGGCUUUCGGGUUGUAAACUUCUUUUAAGGGGGAAGAGCAGAAGACGGUACCCCUUGAAUAAGCCACGGCUAACUACGUGCCAGCAGCCGCGGUAAUACGUAGGUGGCAAGCGUUAUCCGGAUUUACUGGGUGUAAAGGGCGUGUAGGCGGGGACGCAAGUCAGAUGUGAAAACCACGGGCUCAACCCAUAGCCUGCAUUUGAAACUGUAUUUCUUGAGUGCUGGAGAGGCAAUCGGAAUUCCGUGUGUAGCGGUGAAAUGCGUAGAUAUACGGAGGAACACCAGUGGCGAAGGCGGAUUGCUGGACAGCAACUGACGCUGAGGCGCGAAAGCGUGGGGAGCAAACAGGAUUAGAUACCCCAGUAUU
rnacentral:rRNA from 1 species